rnacentral:rRNA from 1 species
GACGAACGCUGGCGGCGUGCUUAACACAUGCAAGUCGAACGGAAAGACCCUGCUUUUGUUGCUUGCUCGUUUGGCGAACGGGUGAGUAACACGUGAGUAACAUGCCCUUAUCUUUCUGAUAACUUCACGAGACUGCGGCUAAUACCCGAUAUGAGCUCCUGCUGCAUAUUGUUCAUUGGAAAGUUUCGGCUGUUGGGGAUGGUAUCGCUGCUUAUCAGCUUGUUUGGGUAGUAGUGGCUUACCAAGGCUUUGACGGGUAGCCGGCCUGAGAGGGUGAACGGCCACCUUGGGACUGAGAUAGGGCCCAGACUGCUACGGGAGGCAGCAGGGGGGAAUCUUGCACAAUGGGCGGAAGUGUGAUGCAGAAACGCAGCGUGCGGGAUGACGGCUUUCGGGUUGUAAACAGCUUUCGAAUGUGACGAAGAGUGAGUGACGGUAAUGGGUAAAGAAGCACCGGCUAACUACGUG